UUUCAACGGCCGCGGUAUUCUAACCGUGCAAAGGUAGCGUAAUCACUUGUCUUCUAAAUAAAGACCAGUAUGAAUGGCUAAAUGAGGACAAACCUGUCUCUUAUGACCAAUCAGUGAAACUGAUCUCCCAGUACAAAAGCUGGAAUAAACACAUAAGACGAGAAGACCCUGUGGAGCUUAAAACAAACCACUACACAAAACACUAGUGCAGUGUUUUAAGUUGGGGCGACUUCGGAACAAAACAAAACUUCCGAGCACGGAACCACCCCUUCCAACCAAGGCCAACAAGCCAAAGUACAAAGCCGACCCGGCCACGCCGAAAAACGAACCAAGUUACCCCAGGGAUAACAGCGCUAUCUUCUUCAAGAGUCCCUAUCGACAAGAAGGUUUACGACCUCGAUGUUGGAUCAGGACACCCAAAUGGUGCAGCCGCUAUUAAAGGUUCGUUUGUUCAACGAUUAACAGUCCU
rnacentral:rRNA from 1 species